CUUUACUGAAGUUGUUCCCUGAUGUUAUGAUAAAAAAGAAAGGGCCUGAGUCUAUGUAGUUGUAGUCUGGUGCCUGCUUUCAAAUGUUUAUUCUUAAAAAACCAAACAUACACCUGAUCCAAAAUGUUAUCAGCAGUUUUCUUUUAAAAGAAUACUUAAUUAGUUGUACCUUCUAGUUUAUUGCUGUUCCUGCAUAUGUGUGAUGCAGGACGCUAAUUCUGAUUGUUCUCUAAGAAUCCUAUACAGAAAUAUGGAUGAAGAUACUCAGAAGACACUACAUGUAACACUGCCAGCAGAAGAGUCCAGAAAUGGAUCUGUAAGCUACCUCCUUCAACUGACAAUGACUGUGCGACACUUGGACUCCCAGGAAAAGCCAUCUAGCACAGAUGGGGACAAAGAAAGGAAAAUAAAUGCUACAGUCAGGCUUAUAAAUCUCUUCUGAGACAGGACAGCCUCCAGGCAGCCAUGUCACCCAGGAGCCCACUGCUCCCUGCCAAAGAGCUGAGGACGUUCUCAGCCUUGCCUUCACUCUGAGUGUGGAAAAGGUAGGCUUGACCCUCUUUAGCAGGGGGGAUGGAAACUCUUUGGUAGCAUCCCCUGUAUCUGCUGGAGUCAGCCAGGAGAGCUCCACUGACCCAAGUUGCCCCAGGAUGACCGCUUUCUACUGCGAUAGGCUCAGCAGUGUCACAGCAGUGCUCAUGGAAGGGUAAUGUGUGGAAGAACAACUGCUAUUUUUUCCAGUGGAUACCAUGGAAAGACGGAGGCUGAGAAAAUUACUUAUACUAACUAAAUUUGUUCCUCUCUGCUUUUCUUGCUUACUCUGCAAAUAAACAGAGACCAGGUGCCUAAUUUAUUCA
rnacentral:lncRNA from 1 species